GGUUGGCUCAGUCAGUAGAGCAUGAGACUCUUAAUCUCAUGGUUGUGGGUUCGAGCCCCACGUUGGGCA
rnacentral:tRNA from 1 species